AGUGAACGCUGGCGGUAGGCCUAACACAUGCAAGUCGAACGGCAGCACAGUAAGAGCUUGCUCUUACGGGUGGCGAGUGGCGGACGGGUGAGGAAUACAUCGGAAUCUACUUUUUCGUGGGGGAUAACGUAGGGAAACUUACGCUAAUACCGCAUACGACCUACGGGUGAAAGCAGGGGAUCUUCGGACCUUGCGCGAUUGAAUGAGCCGAUGUCGGAUUAGCUAGUUGGUGGGGUAACGGCCCACCAAGGCGACGAUCCGUAGCUGGUCUGAGAGGAUGAGCAGUCACACUGGAACUGAGACACGGUGCAGACUCCUACGGGAGGCAGCAGGGGGGAAUAUUGGACAAUGGGCGGAAGUCUGAUCCAGCCAUGGCGCGUGUGUGAAGAAGGUCUUUGGAUUGUAAAGCAUUUUAAGGUGGGAGGAAGGGCAGUAAGUUAAUACCUUGCUGUUUUGACGUUACCAAAAGAAUAAGCACCGGCUAACUUCGUG
rnacentral:rRNA from 1 species